rnacentral:rRNA from 1 species
UACAGAGGGUGCGAGCGUUAAUCGGAAUUAUUGGGCGUAAAGAGCUCGUAGGCGGUUGGGUAAGUCGGGUGUGAAAACUCCAGGCUCAACUUGGAGAUGCCACCCGAUACUGCUCUGACUUGAGUUCGGUAGGGGAGUGGGGAAUUCCUGGUGUAGCGGUGAAAUGCGCAGAUAUCAGGAGGAACACCGGUGGCGAAGGCGCCACUCUGGGCCGAAACUGACGCUGAGGAGCGAAAGCGUGGGUAGCAAACAGG